GCCCCUUUAGCUCAACUGGCAGAGCAAGUGACUCUUAAUCACUAGGUUGAAGGUUCGAGUCCUUCAGGGGGCA
rnacentral:tRNA from 1 species